rnacentral:rRNA from 1 species
UACGUAGGGGGCAAGCGUUGUCCGGAUUUAUUGGGCGUAAAGCGCGUGUAGGCGGCCACGCAGGUCCGCUGUGAAAACUCGAGGCUCAACCUCGAGCUGUCGGUGGAAACCGCGUGGCUAGAGUCCGGAAGAGGGGACUGGAAUUCCCGGUGUAGCGGUGGAAUGCGCAGAUAUCGGGAGGAACACCCGUGGCGAAGGCGGGUCCCUGGGACGGUACUGACGCUGAGACGCGAAAGCGUGGGGGGCGAACAGG